AGGGCACCACCAGGAGUGGAGCCUGCGGCUUAAUUUGACUCAACACGGGAAAACUCACCCGGCCCGGACACUGUAAGGAUUGACAGACUGAGAGCUCUUUCUUAAUUCAGUGGGUGGUGGUGCAUGGCCGUUCUUAGUUGGUGGAGCGAUUUGUCUGGUUAAUUCCGAUAACGAACGAGACUCUGGCCUAUUAAAUAGACGAGAUAUUACUCUGUAUCUCGCGCUUCUUAGAGGGACAAGCGGCGUCUAGUCGCAUGAAAAAGAGCAAUAACAGGUCUGUGAUGCCCUUAGAUGUCCGGGGCUGCACGCGCGCUACACUGAAAGAAUCGGUGGGCGUUUUACCUGGUUCGGAAGAACCGGGUAACCCAAGUAAUUUCUUUCGUGCUUGGGAUAGGGAAUUGCAAUUAUUUCCCUUAAACGAGGAAUUCCCAGUAAACGCGGGUCAUAAGCUCGUGUUGAUUACGUCCCUGCCCUUUGUACACACCGCCCGUCGCUACUACCGAUUGGAUGACUUAGUGA
rnacentral:rRNA from 1 species